UGAACACUUUCAAGAUGUCGAUCAUUCUCAUCGUGUCUCUCUGUCUCUUGAUGAGCAUAGGCCAAUCUCAAGCACGUGCACGCAGGUUCGGCAAGAAGAGCAUGAGAAAGAUAGAUGAUGGUGGCAUGGAAGGGUUCUGGUGAAGCGAUCUGUAGGCUCAGAUUCAAACUCGGCAGGUCUCGAGAAGCGAUCUACAGGCUCAGACUCAGCAGAUCGCGAGAAGCGAGCUGUAGGCUCAGAAUCAGACUCGGCAGGUCGCGAGAAGCGAUCUAGUUCAGAGGAGGCCCCAGCAGAUUCCGUCAGCGCUGCCUCAGCAGAAUCUGCGUAGAUAGACCAAGUCUACGGACGUUUUUGUGGCGACGUCCAAACGAUGAUCUAUGAUUCAAAUUCAACAGAUUACAAAAAGAUGUUAACAACUAUUUGUUUGGUCACUUACAUAAUAUCCAUGUUCUAUACUUUAAAUCUGGACGGUAAUUGUGCAAAACAACAUAAGGAGUUGGUCUUGUAUUUAAUUAAGGCUGGAAUGGGUCAUUAUGUAAGGCUUUUGUAUUAAAGACGUAGUUCAGAUCAUACUUUCUUCCCGAUUACCACUCGAGGCACACAUGUGAAUGUGUUAAUCAGCGCUCCUAGCAGAUGAAAGGUUAUUUAAUAUGAUUAUUGACAUAAUUUUAUUUAUAUCUAGACAGAUACUCACAUAUAUCACUAAUAAUUUCAUUGUAAAAAAUAAUUUAUUGUUCAAAUUAAACAGUUAAAAUGCGUGUAUCCGAAUUGGCAGUGCCUUCUUUACAUGUUAAUAAUUGAUUUUUUCUUAUACAAAUAUUACAGUGCAGAAUUUGUAAUGUGUUUUUUUUAAUUCCAGAUAGAUUUCUCUUUACAUGUUAUCAGGAUACUACAUGGUCGACUGUUUCCCCAAUCAAAUCAUAUUCGGUUCAAGUGUUAUUUGUUUUUUAUGUAAACACACACAUUUGAAAUUAAUAGUGUUGCAGAAUGUUUUCUGCUUUCCUCUUCUUUUCAGUCCCCUUUUUCUCAUUUUUCUGUUAUUGUUUACAGUCCCUUCUUCAUCAUCAUUGAUCUGUUGUUAAUGUUCUCUGCACUUAAAAUACAAUACAAAUUUGUGAAUCAUAAUCAUGAUUAAAUCGAAGCUCAAAACCA